AUUGAACGCUGGCGGCAGGCCUAACACAUGCAAGUCGAACGAGUGGCGUACGGGUUGGUAAUGUCUGUGAAACUUCCUGAUGGAUGGGGAUAACUACUGGAAACUGUUGCUAAUACCGCAUACCAUCAGAUGUGCCCAGAUGGGAUUAGCUAGUUGGUGGGGUAAAGGCUCACCAAGGUGACGAUCCCUAGCUGGUCUGAGAGGAUGACCAGCCACACUGGAACUGAGACACGGUCCAGACUCCUACGGGAGGCAGCAGUGGGGAAUAUUGGACAAUGGGCGAAAGCCUGAUGCAGCCAUGCCGCGUGUAUGAAGAAGGCCUUCGGGUUGUAAAGUACUUUCAGCGGGGAGGCGUUACCAGCAGAAGAAGCACCGGCUAACUCCGUGCCAGCCGCCGCGGUAAUAC
rnacentral:rRNA from 1 species